AGAAUCAACGCUGGCGGCGUGCCUAACACAUGCAAGUCGAACGUGAAAGGGGCUUCGGCCCCGAGUAAAGUGGCAAACGGGUGAGUAACGCGUGGGUGAUCUGCCUUUGAGUGGGGGAUAACCUUCCGAAAGGGGGCUAAUACCGCAUGACAUCCUGUUCUUGGAUGAACGGUGAUCGAAGCUAGGGACCGCAAGGCCUGGCGCUUGAAGAGGAGCCCGCGUCCGAUUAGCUAGUUGGUGGGUAAUGGCUCACCAAGGCGACGAU
rnacentral:rRNA from 1 species